GUGAUAGUGAUGGCAUGCUGAAAAGGGAUGACCUUUCUCUCAAAAGGCCUUUUAUAGCGCCUUCAUGUUCACUAGGAGAUGAAGGAUAUAAUAUCCAUUCACUACACAUGCCAUGGGUUAGGNNNNNNNNNNNAGUACAUGUCUCUACCAACAUGGUGCUGAAGCAAGUAGAUUUCAUUUGGCUCAUCAGGGACCUAGUGGUGUUAAUUUGCCUCUUGCAUCUAGUGCGUCAAAAAU
rnacentral:misc_RNA from 1 species